rnacentral:rRNA from 1 species
AGCGGACAGAUGGGAGCUUGCUCCCUGAAGUCAGCGGCGGACGGGUGAGUAACACGUGGGCAACCUGCCUGUAAGACUGGGAUAACUCCGGGAAACCGGGGCUAAUACCGGAUAAUUCUUUCCCUCACAUGAGGGAAAGCUGAAAGAUGGUUUCGGCUAUCACUUACAGAUGGGCCCGCGGCGCAUUAGCUAGUUGGUGAGGUAACGGCUCACCAAGGCAACGAUGCGUAGCCGACCUGAGAGGGUGAUCGGCCACACUGGGACUGAGACACGGCCCAGACUCCUACGGGAGGCAGCAGUAGGGAAUCUUCCGCAAUGGACGAAAGUCUGACGGAGCAACGCCGCGUGAGUGAUGAAGGUUUUCGGAUCGUAAAACUCUGUUGUUAGGGAAGAACAAGUACCGGAGUAACUGCCGGUACCUUGACGGUACCUAACCAGAAAGCCACGGCUAACUACGUGCCAGCAGCCGCGGUAAUACGUAGGUGGCAAGCGUUGUCCGGAAUUAUUGGGCGUAAAGCGCGCGCAGGCGGUUCCUUAAGUCUGAUGUGAAAGCCCCCGGCUCAACCGGGGAGGGUCAUUGGAAACUGGGGAACUUGAGUGCAGAAGAGAAGAGUGGAAUUCCACGUGUAGCGGUGAAAUGCGUAGAGAUGUGGAGGAACACCAGUGGCGAAGGCGACUCUUUGGUCUGUAACUGACGCUGAGGCGCGAAAGCGUGGGGAGCAAACAGGAUUAGAUACCCUGGUAGUCCACGCCGUAAACGAUGAGUGCUAAGUGUUAGAGGGUUUCCGCCCUUUAUGCUGCAGCAAACGCAUUAAGCACUCCGCCUGGGGAGUACGGCCGCAAGGCUGAAACUCAAAAGGAAUUGACGGGGGCCCCGCACAAUCGGUGGA